rnacentral:misc_RNA from 1 species
AAGUCGUAACAAGGUAUCCGUAGGUGAACCUGCGGAUGGAUCAUUACUAAAUUUGCUCAUAUAUCAAUGUAUAUAUGUCAAAUCAUAUCACCGUGCAACAUGGAGAGCUCCGGCUCUCUAUUAUCAUUAUUACUGCCUUACUGAUGCGUCUACGUCUAAUAGAUUAAAACUUUUAGCAACGGAUCUCUAGGCUCUC